CGUAGACUCCUACGGGAGGCAGCAGUGGGGAAUAUUGCACAAUGGGCGCAAGCCUGAUGCAGCCAUGCCGCGUGUGUGAAGAAGGCCUUCGGGUUGUAAAGCACUUUCAGUUGUGAGGAAGGUGGUGUCGUUAAUAGCGGCAUCAUUUGACGUUAGCAACAGAAGAAGCACCGGCUAACUCCGUGCCAGCAGCCGCGGUAAUACGGAGGGUGCGAGCGUUAAUCGGAAUUACUGGGCGUAAAGCGCAUGCAGGUGGUUUGUUAAGUCAGAUGUGAAAGCCCCGGGGCUCAACCUCGGAACUGCAUUUGAAACUGGCAGACUAGAGUACUGUAGAGGGGGUAGAAUUUCAGGUGUAGCGGUGAAAUGCGUAGAGAUCUGAAGGAAUACCGGUGGCGAAGGCGGCCCCCUGGACAGAUACUGACACUCAGAUGCGAAAGCGUGGGGAGCAAACAGGAUUAGAUACCCUGGUAG
rnacentral:rRNA from 1 species